AUUUCCUUUCAAGAACAAAACUGCAGAGACUGAAGACUCUUCUGUUUUCUUUCCACACAUCUAUGUUGAUAGGAACAACAGUCCUCCUGCUCAGGCAUUGCCAAUCCAAGAAACACCACCGUUAGAUGUCCCCGCAACAAAAUAGAAUUCACGAGUGUCAAGACCACCAGCUUAUCUCAAGGACUAUCACUGCAAUGCUGUUACAUCCUCCACAGAUCACCCUAUAUCAGAGGUUCUGUCUUACUCAUCACUAUCAGAUCCCUACAUGAUAUUUAUCAAUGCU
rnacentral:sRNA from 1 species